UUAAAUUGAAGAGUUUGAUCAUGGCUCAGAUUGAACGCUGGCGGCAGGCCUAACACAUGCAAGUCGAACGGUAACAGGAAACAGCUUGCUGUUUCGCUGACGAGUGGCGGACGGGUGAGUAAUGUCUGGGAAACUGCCUGAUGGAGGGGGAUAACUACUGGAAACGGUAGCUAAUACCGCAUAACGUCGCAAGACCAAAGAGGGGGACCCUCGGGCCUCUUGCCAUCGGAUGUGCCCAGAUGGGAUUAGCUUGUUGGUGGGGUAACGGCUCACCAAGGCGACGAUCCCUAGCUGGUCUGAGAGGAUGACCAGCCACACUGGAACUGAGACACGGUCCAGACUCCUACGGGAGGCAGCAGUGGGGAAUAUUGCACAAUGGGCGCAAGCCUGAUGCAGCCAUGCCGCGUGUAUGAAGAAGGCCUUCGGGUUGUAAAGUACUUUCAGCGGGGAGGAAGGGAGUAAAGUUAAUACCUUUGCUCAUUGACGUUA
rnacentral:rRNA from 1 species